GACGAACGCUGGCGGCGUGCUUAACACAUGCAAGUCGAACGGUAAGGCCUUUCGGGGUACACGAGUGGCGAACGGGUGAGUAACACGUGGGUGACCUGCCUCGAGCUCUGGGAUAAGCCUGGGAAACUGGGUCUAAUACCGGAUAUGACCUGCUCUCGCAUGGGGGUUGGUGGAAAGUUUUUCGGCUCGAGAUGGGCCCGCGGCCUAUCAGCUUGUUGGCGGGGUGAUGGCCUACCAAGGCGACGACGGGUAGCCGGCCUGAGAGGGCGACCGGCCACACUGGGACUGAGACACGGUCCAGACUCCUACGGGAGGCAGCAGUGGGGAAUAUUGCACAAUGGGCGCAAGCCUGAUGCAGCCAUGCCGCGUGUAUGAAGAAGGCCUUCGGGUUGUAAAGUACUUUCAGCGGGGAGGAAGGGAGUAAAGUUAAUACCUUUGCUCAUUGACGUUACCCGCAGAAGAAGCACCGGCUAACUCCGUGCCAGCAGCCGCGGUAAUACGGAGGGUGCAAGCGUUAAUCGGAAUUACUGGGCGUAAAGCGCACGCAGGCGGUUUGUUAAGUCAGAUGUGAAAUCCCCGGGCUCAACCUGGGAACUGCAUCUGAUACUGGCAAGCUUGAGUCUCGUAGAGGGGGGUAGAAUUCCAGGU
rnacentral:rRNA from 1 species